rnacentral:rRNA from 1 species
UACAGAGGGUGCGAGCGUUAAUCGGAGUGACUGGGCGUAAAGGGCGCGUAGGCGGUUAUUUAAGCUAGAUGUGAAAUCCCCGGGCUUAACCUGGGAAGAGCAUCUAGGACUGAGUAGCUAGAGUACAGUAGAGGGCAGUGGAAUUUCCGGUGUAGCGGUGAAAUGCGUAGAGAUCGGAAGGAACACCAGUGGCGAAGGCGACUGCCUGGACUGAAACUGACGCUGAGGCGCGAGAGCGUGGGUAGCAAACAGG